rnacentral:rRNA from 1 species
CCUACGGGGGGCAGCAGUGAGGAAUAUUGGUCAAUGGGCGGAAGCCUGAACCAGCCAAGUAGCGUGCGGGAUGAAGGCCCUACGGGUCGUAAACCGCUUUUGCACGGGGAUAACACCCUCCACUUGUGGAGGUCUGCAGGUACCGUGCGAAUAAGGGCCGGCUAAUUCCGUGCCAGCAGCCGCGGUAAUACGGAAGGCCCGAGCGUUAUCCGGAUUCAUUGGGCUUAAAGGGAGCGUAGGCGGGCGUUCAAGUCAGCUGUAAAAUCGCGCGGCUCAACCGCGCCCCGCAGUUGAAACUGGUCGCAUUGAGUUCACAACAGGCAGGCGGAAUGCGUGGUGUUGCGGUGAAAUGCGUAGAUAGCACGAGGAACCCCGAUUGCGAAGGCAGCCUGCCGGGGUGCGACUGACGCUGAGGCUCGAAGGUGCGGGUAGCAAACAGGAUUAGAUACCCCUGUAGUC